UAGUCAUAUGCUUGUCUCAAAGAUUAAGCCAUGCAUGUCUAAGUAUAAAUGGAUUAUACAGUGAAACUGCGAAUGGCUCAUUAAAUCAGUUAUAGUUUAUUUGAUAAUAUCUUUUACUUGGAUAACCGUAAUAAUUUUAGAGCUAAUACAUGCGUAAAAGGGUGACUUUACAGAAACCCUGUAUUUAUUAGAUACAAAACCAAUCACGCUUGCGUGCUUCCUUGGUGAUUCAUAAUAACUAAACGAAUUGUAUGACUUUAUGUUGACGAUGAUUCAUAUAAGUUUUUGCCCUAUCAACUUUCGAUGGUAAGGUAUUGGCUUUCCAUGGUUACAACGGGUGACGGAGAAUUAGGGUUUGAUUCCGGAGAGGGAGCCUGAGAAACGGCUUCCACUUUUUCGGAGGGCAGCAGGCGCGCAAAUUUCCCCCUCCUGGCUCCGGGGGGUUGUGGCGGNUUCUUUCGGUUCGUGUCUUCGGUCUUGUUNUUUCUUCAAGGCAAUUUAAACCCCUUAA
rnacentral:rRNA from 1 species